GGGCUCCGGGUCCCCCCCCUUUCCCUGAGGGGCAUUUUUGGGGGGCUUCAGAUCCCCCCCCCUCCUUGGGGGGCAUUUUUGGGUAACUGCAGCCCCCCCCUAUAGAUGGCACUGCCCCAUUCGGAGCCCCCCCCGCACCCCCACCCCCCCCGGCGCCGCUUUUCCCUUUGGGUUUUCCAGUUGUGCCUUAACCGGGGAGCAGCGCUCAGUGGGACAACAGUGGGACACCAAUGGGGCACCAAUGGGACCCCCCGUGUGACACCGAGGGGACACCAAUGGGACCCCAAUGGGACACCGGGACCCCCAGUGUGACACCAAUGGGACCCCAGUGAGACCCCCUGUGUGACACCAAGGGGACACCAAUGGGACACCAACGGGACCCCAGUGAGACCCCCAGUGUGACACCAAUGGGACCCCAAUGGGACCCCCCGUGUGACUCCAAUGGGACACCAACGGGACACCAAUGGGACACCGGGACCGCCAGUGUGAUACCAGUGGGACCCCAGUGAGACCCCCAGUGUGACACCGAGGGGACACCGAGGGGACCCCAAUGGGACCCCAGUGUGACUCCAAGGGGACACCAAUGGUUCCCCCAGUGUGACACCGAGGAGACACCAAUGGAACACCAAGAAGACACCAAUGGGACCCCCAGUGUGACACCAGUGGGACACCAAUGGGACACCAAUGGGACACCAAUGGGACACUGGGACCCAAAGUGUGACACCGAGAGGACCCCCAGUGUGACACCAAUGGGACACCAAUGGGACAUCAAUGGGACCCCCAGUGUGACUCCAGUGGGACAUCAAUGGGACACUGAGGGGACAGUGGGACCCCCAGCACUCUGAUGUGACCCCGAGGGGACCCCCAGUGUGACACUGAGGGGACAGCGGGACCCACAGCGCCCCAAUGUGACCCUGGGGGGGCAGUGGGACCCCCGGCACUCUGAUGUGACACUGAGGGGACAGUGGGACCCCCGGCACUCUGAUGUGACACUGAGGGGACCCCCAGUGUGACCCCAAGGGGACCCACUGUGCCUCAAUGUGACACUGUGGGGACAGUGGGACCCCCAGCACUUCGCGGUGACCCCAAAGGGACCCCCAAUGUGACACUGAGGGGACACCAAUGGGACCCACUGUGCCCCAAUGUGACACUGGGGGGGACAGUGGGACCCCCCACCACUUCGAGGUGACCCGGAGGGGACCCCCACCACUCUGAUGUGACCCCGAGGGGACCCCCGAUGUGACACUGAGGGGACAGUGGGACCCCCAGCACUCUGAUGUGACCCCGAGUGGCCCCACACGGCUCCAUGGGACCCCACUGUGGGGCAGUGGUGGUUAUGCGGGGGGGUCGGGGGCUGCUGCCCCCCCCCACAGCCGCCCCCUGCAGAGCUGUCCCCCCCCCC
rnacentral:lncRNA from 1 species